CAAAAAUAGAUCUGGAAAAAUUUAUCAAGCAUCACAUCGUUAUCGAGAGCUCUGUGUGUGGAUAGUUAGCAGCAUCUCUAGCCUCUACCUUGGAGUCCUUUGACCUGUACUCUUGAGAGUCUGUUGGACAGCUAGGAGAUCAAACCAGUCCACCCUAAAGGAAGUCAACCCUGAACAUUCACUGGAAGGACUGAAGCGGAAGCUGAAGCUCUGAUCCUUUGGCUACCUGAUGCGAAGAGCUGACAUAUUGGAAAAGACCCUGAUGUUGGGAACGACUAAAGGCAAGAGAAGAAGCGGGGUGACAGAGAAUGAGAUGGUUGGAUGGCAUCACCGACUCAAUGGACAUGAGUCUGAGUAGACUCAGGGAAGGAGUGAUGGACAGGGAGGCCUAGCGUGCUGCAGUCCACGGGGUCACAAAGCAUCAGGCAUGACUGAGCGACUGAACAGCAACUGGUUUCUACUUGCUUGAUGCCAAUUCUCAUCAACUCUUGGGUAAAAUGGGCUUUGGAAACUAGAGAUUUGGAAUUUCCCUCAGGCUUGGAAGCAUUAUAUGCCAAGGAGGUGUGGGGAGGCACCAGCAGCAUCUGCUACAGUUAACCCCUAUAGCACUCAGAUGGGCUUCCCAGGUAGCACUAGCAGUAAAGGAUCUGCUUGGCAGAGCAGGAGACACGAAAAACAAGGGUUCGAUCCCUCGAUCGGGAAGGUCCCCUGGAGAAGGAAGUGGCAACCCACUCCAGUAUUUUUGCCUGAAAAACUCCAUGGACGGAGGAGCCUGGCAGGGUACAGUCCAUGGGGUUGUGAAGAGUCAGACAUGACUGAGCACACACACAGCACUCAGAACCAUUUCUGUCCUACAUUAACUCACUUCAUGCUGUACUGGUUCUUCCAGGUGAUGGCUGCUCACGAUUGAAAAAGAAUUUAAAAAAUCAUCAUGAGAGAGAGGUUAGGGGGACAGCUAUAUUUCCUGUUUCUUAAGAUGGUCUUAAGGCCAUAUUAGACAUUCAUCUUCUCCCUCCUCUUCCACCCAUUUGAGAUUCUCCUCACUCUUGGUGAGCAAUUUUUUUCUUUUUGGCCACAACAUGUGACCUGCGGAACUUCCAUGACUGGGGAUGGAAUCUGUUCCCCCUGCAAUAGAAGGACAGGAAUUGUAGCCUCCAGAGUUAUUUUAACUCGACCACCAGGGCAGCCCUCAUCUAGCACUUCUGGUCUGAACUGCUCACCUGGGGGGGUGACCCAGACUGUACCCCCAUAACUGGGGCCUUACCAGGCUGUCAUGGUAAUUAUCCACUCCCAGUCAUGACUUGACAUGAAAGCAUGAAGACACGCCCCAGGGAAUUCCCUGUGUUCUGCAAACACUCCUUCUUACCUCAUUAUGUAGACGUGACUGUAUCUCCUCAGAAUAAUUGGAGAUGAAUUACUCUGGCCUACAGCACUUCCCUUUUCUGUCUUCUGGUUUAUUGGCACGUUGCUUAGUUGCCAAGCUGUAUCCGACUCUUUUGAAACCCCACGGACUGUAGCCCACCAGGCUCCUCUGUCCAUGGGAUUCCCCAGGCGAGAAUACUGUAGUGCGUUGCCAUUUCCUUCUCCAGGGGAUCUUCCCAACUCAGGGACUGAACCCAAGUCUCCUGCAUCACAGGUGGACUUUAUUGCUGAGCCACCAGGGAAGCCCCUAUUGGCAUGAGGAGCUCAGAAUAACCAGGUUUUAGCCACACAGUGGAGUUCUAUAUCCUUUUGCAGAACACCUCCUUAUCCCCCAUCAGGAGAUUGAGACUUCUAGUCCAGCCAAACCUGAAGCGCAGAUUCCUCAGGGAGACCCUGGGAGUGGUGAUGAGAGAUGCCACUAGACAUCCAUCCCUUGGUUCCCAGAACUUUGGGGAUUCUACCAAUUGGAAUCCAGCACCCCCAUCCCUCAGGAUUCGCCUACCAACGGGUGCCUUCGUUGUGCCAUUUCAGGCCAUCACAAUGUUUAAUCAAACUGGUAACUUUCAGGUGAUGUUCUACACAGCAGGAUCACUGGAUCCCAUUAUCACAUGCCCAUUUUGACAUAAAAUGGAGCCCUUGGUUUGCGGCAUGUAUCACGAUUCAAUCAGAGAAGCAGAGCCAUUGUGAGUGACAUAGUGACCUAGGUAUUCUUUUUUUGCCAUGUUAUGUGGCAUUUGGGACCAUAGUUCCCCGCCCAUGGAUCAAACUCAUACCCCCAGCAUGGAAGCGCAGUCUUAACUGCUGGACUGCCAGGGAAGUCCCUCAAAAGUUUUUUUUAUAAAAUUUCAUAAUCAUCUCUUUCCAUAGGUAAAAUGCCAGAGUAUUCAAAGCAUUGUGUAGCAACAAAACAUUUUUAGUAAUGUCCCAUGCACUAUUUGAAACACACUUAUACUAAACAAUUAUUCACUGUUUAUGAAUUAUUCAUUAUUCACUGA
ensembl:lncRNA